CGAGCGAAGCACUUUAAUUUGAUUCUUCGGAUGAGGAUUUUUGUGACUGAGCGGCGGACGGGUGAGUAACGCGUGGGCAACCUGCCUUACACAGGGGGAUAACAGUUAGAAAUGACUGCUAAUACCGCAUAAGACCACAGUACUGCAUGGUGCAGUGGUAAAAACUCCGGUGGUGUAAGAUGGGCCCGCGUCUGAUUAGGUAGUUGGCGGGGUAAUGGCCCACCAAGCCGACGAUCAGUAGCCGACCUGAGAGGGUGACCGGCCACAUUGGGACUGAGACACGGCCCAGACUCCUACGGGAGGCAGCAGUGGGGAAUAUUGCACAAUGGGGGAAACCCUGAUGCAGCGACGCCGCGUGAGCGAUGAAGUAUUUCGGUAUGUAAAGCUCUAUCAGCAGGGAAGAAAAUGACGGUACCUGACUAAGAAGCCCCGGCUAACUACGUGCCAGCAGCCGCGGUAAUACGUAGGGGGCAAGCGUUAUCCGGAUUUACAAGGGUGUAAAGGGAGCGUAGACGGCGGUGCAAGCCAGAUGUGAAAGCCCGGGGCUCAACCCCGGGACUGCAUUUGGAACUGUGCUGCUAGAGUGUCGGAGAGGCACGCGGAAUUCCUAGUGUAGCGGUGUAAUGCG
rnacentral:rRNA from 1 species